AAAGUCCUGAUGUGUUCGUUGUUUUACCUAUUAGUUUUGACCGAACAUUUCUAUCUACGGGAGCCUGACGUUUUCAAGCGGCGUUAAUGCCUCUGGCUGGAGGACUAAUAAAGCUAUGGAACAAGGCACCCACCUGCUGAGUGCGGGUUCAAAACGAUAGAUCCUCAGCGACGGCACGAUCGGGACUUUG
rnacentral:other from 1 species